CAGCAGCCGCGGUAAUACGGAGGGUGCAAGCGUUAAUCGGAAUUACUGGGCGUAAAGCGCACGCAGGCGGUCUGUCAAGUCGGAUGUGAAAUCCCCGGGCUCAACCUGGGAACUGCAUUCGAAACUGGCAGGCUAGAGUCUUGUAGAGGGGGGUAGAAUUCCAGGUGUAGCGGUGAAAUGCGUAGAGAUCUGGAGGAAUACCGGUGGCGAAGGCGGCCCCCUGGACAAAGACUGACGCUCAGGUGCGAAAGCGUGGGGAGCAAACAGGAUUAGAUACCCCGGUAGUCCCUGUCUCUUAUAC
rnacentral:rRNA from 1 species